UAUUUCAACCAUUUAAAAAAGAAAAGAGCUGUAACCAAAUGGAAUGAAAAUCAAAUGUUAUGGCAAAGUAACAAUAAUCCCGAGCGAGUGUAUAAAUAAUAUUGUAUGGCAGCACAAAAAUAAAGUCAUUAAAAUUCUCUAUAUAUGCAAGAGGCGAAUGAACAAGCUGAAAGGACGAAGGACACAGGACGUUGGGCUACAGUAACACAUUCACAUUGGUAUGCUUUGCACUACGUGUCGGCAGCAACAGCAACAAGAGCUACAACAACAACAAGAAUGCUUUAGAGCAACGCAUUUUGACUUCGGUAUUUGCGGCUUUUUAUGUAAUUCAUGGUCAUUCAAUGCUUCGCUCUCAAAGCGACUUUUAUGCUCGGAUUUGGCCCAAAAGAAGCGUACGCGAAAAUCACGUAAUUUAUGUGAUUCCCAGUUGCAAUUGCACUCGCAGUCGCCGUUUGCUGUUUGCAGUCAAAAAACGCCUGACGCAAUUAUAGCCAAGCACGAACACAUACACAUAAAAACAAGUAUACACACACACACAAAGAUGCUUGAACAACUGGCUGUGUCAAAUGUCAAAGAGGGAAUCAAAAGCAAUUGAAAGGGGUUAAAACUGAAUUUACCCAUCAACAACAGCGAUAAAUAAGCAAGUUAAGAAAUGCAUUUAAAAUCCAUAUGAUAUUGCCACCGCCAUUAACAUUAAAUCACAUACGAGAAUAAUAGGAAUCAAUUUUAAUGCUAUCAGCUCUACAAUUUAUUGUGAUGUCUUAAAUAACUUCAUAUUUUCUUUCAAAAAUAUACUCGAAUAAUAUAUUUAA